CUUACUGAAGACCCUUUUUUUUUUUUUUUUGCUGAAAUGCGUCUUUGUCUUUGCAAAAGGGUUCAUUGGUUCCUGCCUUUUUUAUUUUAUAUUGAGUCAGUUAUUUUCAAGCUGCCUCCUGAUUAUUUUCACCUGUAAAAGCCCUGAAUCAUCAGUCUUGUUGAACCGCAUGCAGACUAACAACACAAACAGGUCAACUUUAUACUGUAAGCAUAUUUCCAUUUAAAGCAGAGUUUCGUAUGUGAGGUAAUCUUGCUGGGAGUGAAAGCAGUUCAUGGGACCGCUUGAUAUAAGAAACACAUCCUGUUUUUAAUGGUGAUGUGGAUCAUAGCUCUGAAAAGUUGGAUAGCUGUUGGCCAUUGGCUUGAUAACAGUGGUUUAUGAAUAGGUUAUUCAGGUAUUUACUGACAAAACAGGUAGCUUGAGCAGAAUCAUAUUGAAACUUCUGUCAAAUCAUGUUUACAUACAGUAUGCAUGCAAACUCCAGGCUAAUGUAAAUUUUUUUGUCUCCAUGUCUUAUCCUUUCACCCAUGACCGACAGACCCAAAUCUUGUUCGGUCUGAUGCUCAACCUUGUACAGUCCACCAAAGGAUGACCACUGCAAAGUGAUGGGAAUCUGUGGUAAUCACAGCCUGUGUCUCAAGAUCAACAUGACAAUAGCAGAUCAUCUCUUAUCUUACUCUUAUCUGACUAAAUGUUCAACGUCACUGCCACAAAACAAAGAACGUUGGAUGGAGUAUUGGAGUAUGUACUGUACAAUGAUCCAACAAACAAAAUAUACUUUUUGUUAGCUUCUACAGACAUUGACACAAUCCUAUUGACUUUUAUUCUUACAGUUAGUAAUGUAUUAUUAACAUCCCAUUCAUUUGUAUUCAAUGCCAUCUAUCUGUUUGUGCUAAAGUGUUUACAUCUGAAUGUAAUGUCAUAAUAUUAUAAUAUUCAGUAUUGAUCUUUUUUUUAAUACACGUAUUUAUUGUUGUUGCUGUAUGACACCUCAUGUAAUGAAAAAGUGAAAAUAAAUUUUCUGAUGUCUUGAAGUUCUGUUUUUAAACUGUUAAACCUUAUAAAGUGCUAUAAAUAAAAAACAAAACAAAACAA